CCCUUAGAUGUUCUGGGCCGCACGCGCGCUACACUGACUACUUCAACGAGUUGUUUCCUUGAUCGAAAGGUCUGGGUAAUCUUUGAAAGGUAGUCGUGAUGGGGAUAGAUCCUUGCAAUUUUUGAUCUUCAACGAGGAAUUCCUAGUAAACGCAAGUCAUCAGCUUGCAUUGAUUGCGUCCCUGCCCUUUGUACACACCGCCCGUCGCACCUACCGAUUGAAUGGUCCGGUGAAUCUUUAGGACUGUGGCUGAGGCCUUGCCUUGUGCGGGUCUGGCCGUGGGAAUUUAGUUAAACCUUACCAUUUAGAGGAAGGUGAAGUCGUAACA
rnacentral:rRNA from 1 species